CACGUAGUUAGCCGGUGCUUAUUCUUCAGGUACCGUCAUCCCCCCGAGGUAUUAACCCAGAGGAUUUCUUCCCUGACAAAAGCAGUUUACAACCCGAAGGCCUUCUUCCUGCACGCAGCAUUGCUGGAUAAGGCUUGCGCCCAUUGUCCAAAAUUCCCCACUGCUGCCUCCCGUAGGAGUCUGGGCCGUGUCUCAGUCCCAGUGUGGCUGGUCGUCCUCUCAGACCAACUACAGAUCGCAGGCUUGGUAGGCCUUUACCCCACCAACUACCUAAUCUGAUAUCGGCCGCUCCAAUAGCGAGAGGUCUUGCGAUCCCCCCCUUUCACCCGUAGGUCGUAUGCGGUAUUAAUCCGGCUUUCGCCGGGCUAUCCCCCACUACUGGGCACGUUCCGAUAUAUUACUCACCCGUUCGCCACUCGCCGCCAGGAUUGCUCCCGCGCUGCCGUUCGACUUGCAUGUGUAAGGCAUGCCGCCAGCGUUCAAUCUGAGCCAGGAUCAAACUCU
rnacentral:rRNA from 1 species